GGAAAACAGUUUCUUAAUGAGGAAUAUUUGUAAGCUCUGUUGGCGCUCAGCAGGUUGAAGAUUGACAAUGAACCACCUAAGGGUGCAGAUUUAGCCUCAGGGUGCAGCUCGGAUCCCUGGGUUCAGCGGAGGUGGGUGCCGAAGCCCGAACUGAAUUGGCACGCAGGUCCCUGCCCAGCGCUGAGCCGCGCCUCGGGAAAGACUGAAAGCUGCCCGUGCCGCUGAGCAUGCCCAGUUUCUGCCUGAGUCCCUGGAGGGUUGCAAGAUUGGGGGUUGAUUUGGUCUCCAGGUGCCGUAGGCUGCGAGGAAGAUGAGACGGCCAAAGAUGAGAAGGCCAAAGAUUGCGAGCGACUAGUACAAAAGAAGGAAAGAGUUUGAAAUAGCUGCAGCUGUGCUUGGGAGACGACAAGAGUUUCUCUCCCAGGUGCUGAACGUGUGGAGCUAUCCAUGGUUCUGAAUCCGACUCAGCAGUUGGCAACUCUUCUCUGCCUACAACCAACCAGGGACAAUAGAACUACAAACUCAGAGUCUUAACGAAACCCAAGUUCACCUUCCUCCCAAAAUAUAUCAAGAACUCCAGA
rnacentral:lncRNA from 1 species